rnacentral:rRNA from 1 species
AACUUCGGGAUAAGGAUUGGCUCUGAAAACUGAGCUGGUCGGGCUGAAGUCAGAAGCAAGUACUGCAAAAUACCGAGACUGGUUGAUGUGAAUUUCGGUUUACUGAUGCCGGACUUGUGUUUUUGUGAUCUUGUGGAUUGCUUCAGCUAGGAUCCUUUGUGCAGCCUUUCUGAAGUAGCAAUAUGGAGGGAAGUGUCUGUUGCAGGGGGCAAUCCUUUCGGCCAGCGAAAAACAGUUGAAUCAGAACUGGCACGGACCCCGGGAAUCCGACUGUCUAAUUAAAACAAAGCAUUGUGA